rnacentral:rRNA from 1 species
GAUGAACGCUGGCGGCGUGCUUAAUACAUGCAAGUCGAACGAGCAGUGAAGACGGAAACCUUCCGGCGGAAGGCUUUAUUUCGAGUGGCGGACGGGUGAGUAACGCGCGGGUAACCUGCCUUAAACUGGGGAAUAACAGUCGGAAACGACUGAUAAUACUGCAUCAGACCACAGCAUCGCAUGGUGCGGUGGUAAAAACUCCGGUGGUAUGAGAGGGACCCGCGUGCGAUUAGCCGGUUGGAAGGGUAACGGCCCCCCAAAGCGACGAUCGAUAGUCGAGCAGAGAGAAUGGCCGGCGACUUUGGGGCGAGGACACAGCCGAAACUCCUACGGAAGGGGGGAGUGGCGAAUGGUGCACAAUGGGGGAAACCCUGAUGCAGCGCGGCCGCGUGAGUGAAGAAGUAUUGCAGUAUGUAAAGCGCUAGCAGCAAGGAAGGAAAUGACGGUACCUGAGUAGAAAGCCCCGGCUAACUACGUG